rnacentral:rRNA from 1 species
AGCAGCCGCGGUAAUUCCAGCUCCAAUAGCAUAUAUUAAAGUUGUUGCAGUUAAAAAGCUCGUAGUUGAAUUUCGGGAUCAAUAUGUCGGUCGUGCCAUUGGUACGUACUGGUAUCAUUGAUUUCUCCCUUCUGACGAACCAUGAUGUCAUUAAUUUGGUGUUAUGGGGAGUUAGGACUGUUACUUUGAAAAAAUUAGAGUGUUUAAAGCAGGCAUUAGCUUGAAUACAUUAGCAUGGAAUAAUGAAAUAGGACGUUUGACCCUAUUUUGUUGGUUUCUAGGAUCGACGUAAUGAUUAAUAGGGAUAGUUGGGGGCAUUAGUAUUCAAUUGUCAGAGGUGAAAUUCUUGGAUUUAUUGAAGACUAACUACUGCGAAAGCAUUUGCCAAGGAUGUUUUCAUUAAUCGAGAACGAAAGUUAGGGGAUCGAAGACGAUCAGAUACCGUCGUAGUCUUAACCAUAAACUAUGCCGACUAGGGAUAGGGUGAUGUUAAUUUUUUAAUGACUCA